CAAAACCUGCAGCUGUCAGGUUGAUACAGUAUUUAUAUCUGUGAGCAUUAUUGACAUUACUAGUGUUAGUCAGCUUGAUGAAAUGUUUUAGUCGCUAAGUGAAAGCGAAAGCUGUUUUCUGACUCUCUCUCAUGGGUGCCUCUUACUGUCUGUGUAUUUCCACGGUGGCUCAGCAGCAGAAAUCGUUUCUACAAUGGCGUGAAGAAAAGUCCUAUCUGUGCCGUCAUUAGUGAUUCAGUAUGAAGGAAGACAUUAAGUACCACGGUUGAGAAACCAAGGAGCAACAUGUUACCUGAACAGCAUUCUGCAGGUUCAGUUCAUGACCAGAGAGUUCAGAGAGGCUGUAGAAAGUUGUUCAAAACACCAAGAAGACAAAUCAAUGUUCGACUCCAUACUUUGUUUGAGAGUCUAAAGAAAAAAAUCAGAAACCACAGAAGUUACAAAGAUGCUGAGAAUUGAAAAAGUGUAUGAACAGCAGGAUGUUGGUCAGUACCUGGAGAAGAUUUUAUCUCUGGUCAGCGAUGAAGCGUCACAGAUAUUCAGAGGAGAGCUGGUUCACAGGACUGUUUGUGAUCAAUGUGACUCAGACACUGAAGACUUGGUGCCUUUUUGGUUUCUUUCUCUCCCACUGAUGGAUUCUAGUGACGGAAACUACAGUGUGGAAGACGCAAUUCGGGAGUUUUUAAAGGAUGUACGGUUUUGGAGAAGACCAGCUGUACUGUGAUAAAUGUGAAGACAAUCGUGACACUACUGUUAAAUAUGAACUAAAGCAUCAUCCACAGAUUUUGAUUUUGCUGCUGAAGAGGUUCGAAUACAACUAUCAGUGCAUGUCAUACAGUAAAGACAAUCGUGCUGUGGAUGUUUGUCACACCAUCGACUUACCAGAGAACCAGACAUAUGAGCUGUAUGGUUGGUGGAUCACUUUGGGAUUCUGAGCAGAGACCAUUACACAGCAACAAUCAAGCCUGAGGACGAAGAAAACUGGUAUGAGUUCAGUGA